GAGGGUACAGCUCAGUGGUGGAGCGCAUGCUUAGCAUGCACAAGGUUCUGGGUUCAAUCCUCAGUACCUCCA
rnacentral:tRNA from 1 species